rnacentral:rRNA from 1 species
AUGGCUCUUUGGGUGUAAAACAUAAAGAGUCGGACCUGCCCAGUGAAUAUUUUAACGGCCGCGGUACUCUGACCGUGCGAAGGUAGCAUAAUAAUUUGUCUUGUAAUUGAAGUCUAGUAUGAAUGGUUUAACAAGAAUGUAGCUGUCUCCUUUUAAUUUUUUAGAAUUUUAUUUUUAAGUUAAGAAGCUUAAAUUAAAUUAAUAGACAAGAAGACCCUAUCGAGCUUAAAAGUUAUUAUUAGGAUUAUAAUAUUUAUACAAGUUAUUCUAGUAAAAAUUUUAGUUGGGGCGACUGAGGAACCAUUAAAGCUUCCUUAAUAUAGCUUUACUGAUAAGUUAUGAUCCAAAAUUUUUGAUUAAUAGAAUUAGUUACCGUAGGGAUAACAGCAUUAUCUUUUUUGAGAGUUCAUAUCGAAAAAGAGGAUUGUGACCUCGAUGUUGGACCAGAAUGUCCUAAAGAUGUAGCAGUCUUUAAGGGUUGGUCUGUUCGACCAUUAAAAUUCUACGUGAUCUGAGUUAAGACCGGCGUGAGCCAGGUCAGUUUCUAUCUUUUAUUACAAGCAUAAAGUUAGUACGAAAGGACCACUUUAUGGUAUAAAAUAGUAAAGUUGAUUAAGUUUAAUUACAAUUUAUCAAAUUAGCAAACUUAAUGUAAUUAACUUAGGAUUAAUAGAAACAGGUGAAAAUCCUUUAUUUGAUAUAUGAAGAUGGCAGAUUAAGUGC